UGGGGAAUAUUGGACAAUGGGCGAAAGCCUGAUCCAGCCAUGCCGCGUGAGUGACGAAGGCCUUAGGGUUGUAAAACUCUUUCGUCGGGGACGAUAAUGACGGUACCCGAAGAAGAAGCUCCGGCUAACUUCGUGCCAGCAGCCGCGGUAAUACGAAGGGAGCUAGCGUUGUUCGGAAUCACUGGGCGUAAAGCGCACGUAGGCGGAUAGUUAAGUCAGGGGUGAAAUCCUGGGGCUCAACCCCAGAACUGCCUUUGAUACUGGCUGUCUCGAGGUCGAGAGAGGUUGGUGGAAUUCCUAGUGUAGAGGUGAAAUUCGUAGAUAUUGGGAAGAACACCAGUGGCGAAGGCGGCUAACUGGUCCGGUACUGACGCUGAGGUGCGAAAGCGUGGGGAGCAAACAGGAUUAGAUACCCACGUAGUCCCUGAGCGGGCUGGCAAGGCGCAU
rnacentral:rRNA from 1 species